rnacentral:lncRNA from 1 species
GCAAAAUGGUCAAAACACAAUUUAACAUUUCAAAUUAAAAUAAAACAAACAUUAACCUCAGAAUUAGCAAUCCUACAAAAAUUAGCAACAGAACCACUCGAACUCAGUCCGAUAAUUCGCGAUCAACAGCUUGGGGUUUAAUUUCUCUUAUAAGACACUCAACGUCCAAAUCUGAUCUCUCAGACAAAUUCUGAGCACACAAAAUAUAUAUCACAGAAUCCGAUUCUUGUUCAGGGAUAGCAAACACAAACUGUUUUGUCUGUUUAGGUAUAGAUAAUUUCCUAACUAAUACAUUUGAUACUCUCAAAUCAUCGUACUUAAACGCCGAGAAAGGCCAUACUUUUUGCACAUAACACAAAAUUUUCAUGCCCAUCACAUUAAUUUAUAACAACUUUACUACAUAAAAAAACACAACUUUAACCAGAAUCCGAACAAGGGUUUUCACCAAUCAAGGGCAAAAUUAAAGGGUCGAUGCUACUGGGUUUCUGGUGGGAAAAUUACCCCUCUUACCUUCCAUAAACAAUCAAAUUACAAGAAGCACAAGUUAAAUAUGAGUGUGUAUGUACAUAGGAUAAGAGAGACUGCAAUCGAAUUGGGGAUAGAUAGGCCAAAGUCUUGUCGGAAUUGGAGGAGAUAAUACCGGAGGUUGCCGUAUAAUAGGGAGGAGAUGUUGUGUCGCCAGAGCUCCGGGAGGCGAAAUCGGAGAUGAAUUAGCCCAGCAACGUCUCUGUUUAAUCGCGAAUUAUCGGACUGAGUUCUAGUGGUUCUGUUGCUAAUUUUUGUAGGAUUGCUAAUUCUGAG